AUGCAGCUGGAAUUUCAGGUGUGUCACCCUGGAGCUGAGGCCUCCAGAUGGACUCGUAGAAGGGAGAUGUGUAAGGCUCCAUCCCUCAGCAGCCCACGAUCUCUGAAGGUUUGCCACUGUGGCCAAUGUUUUAUGGAAGCUUCUGAGGCCGUAGAGCAGAGGGAAGUUCUGAGCACACGGAGGACAAGCCAGGGUGGUGCUGUGUGGCCGCAAACAACCCUAAGUAGGGGAUACGUGUGGGGGACAGGCUCUAACACCUUGAUUCCUUAUGUCUGUGUCUCUGCAGUAUGUUUCAUGGAGAGUCUGAGUGACAGCAACCAUGAUGAAAGUGAUACAGACUCAGUGGUGGAGAGCCUGAGCAGCCGCCAGGAUGAGGAGGCUGCAGCAACCCUCGAUGAUGUUGUGGAGGCCGGCGGGAGUGAGAAGACGGAGGAAGAGGCCCUGGCUGGGGCAAAUGAGGAGGAGGUGGGGCCGGGAACUGAGAAGGUGCAGGAGGAGGCUGCCUGCAUUGACGAGGCAGAGGAGGAGGCAGGCCCAUCCCUUGAAAAUGACGAGGAGUCCCCAGCCAGCGACCUGGUUGAGCAGGAAGACCAGCUUGCCCCAAGGUAAGCUCACCUUUCUUGAUCGGAGAUUUAAAAAGGUGCCUCCUUUCUUCUUGGAUGUGCCUACUUCAGAAAAGGAAAUCUGAGCAAGUCCAUUAUAGAGGAUAUAUGCACAUUCCUCUGUGGAGGAAUGUUGAGUCAAAGUUUGGUACCAACCAAUAACUCCUUCCAAGGGGCAUUGGCAAAAGGGACCACAUCAGUUCCCAAGUGUACAUAGGGAGCAUUUGUCUUUGAAGAAGCCUG
rnacentral:lncRNA from 1 species